rnacentral:rRNA from 1 species
UGGGGAAUCAUAGACAAUGGGGGAAACCCUGAUCUUGCCAUGCCGCGUGAGCGAUGAAGGCCCUAGGGUUGUAAAGCUCUUUCGCCAGGGAAGAUAAUGACGGUACCUGGUAAAGAAACCCCGGCUAACUCCGUGCCAGCAGCCGCGGUAAUACGGAGGGGGUUAGCGUUGUUCGGAAUUACUGGGCGUAAAGCGCACGUAGGCGGGCUGGAAAGUUGGGGGUGAAAUCCCGGGGCUCAACCCCGGAACUGCCUCCAAAACUAUCAGCCUCGAGUCCGAGAGAGGUGAGUGGAACUCCGAGUGUAGAGGUGAAAUUCGUAGAUAUUCGGAAGAACACCAGUGGCGAAGGCGGCUCACUGGCUCGGUACUGACGCUGAGGUGCGAAAGUGUGGGGAGCAAACA